rnacentral:rRNA from 1 species
GGUUAAGCGACUAAGCGUACACGGUGGAUGCCCUGGCAGUCAGAGGCGAUGAAGGACGUGCUAAUCUGCGAAAAGCGUCGGUAAGGUGAUAUGAACCGUUAUAGCCGGCGAUGUCCGAAUGGGGAAACCCAGUGCAAUUCGUUGCACUAUCGUUAACUGAAUACAUAGGUUAACGAGGCGAACCGGGGGAACUGAAACAUCUAAGUACCCCGAGGAAAAGAAAUCAACCGAGAUUCCCCCAGUAGCGGCGAGCGAACGGGGAGCAGCCCAGAGUCUGAAUCAGCUUGUGUGUUAGUGGAACGGUCUGGAAAGUCCGACGGUACAGGGUGAUAGUCCCGUACACCAAAAUGCACAGGUUGUGAACUCGAAGAGUAGGGCGGGACACGUGGUAUCCUGUCUGAAUAUGGGGGGACCAUCCUCCAAGGCUAAAUACUCCUGACUGACCGAUAGUGAACCAGUACCGUGAGGGAAAGGCGAAAAGAACCCCGGCGAGGGGAGUGAAAAAGAACCUGAAACCGUGUACGUACAAGCAGUGGGAGCACCUUUAUGGUGUGACUGCGUACCUUUUGUAUAAUGGGUCAGCGACUUAUAUUCUGUAGCAAGGUUAACCGUAUAGGGGAGCCGCAGGGAAACCGAGUCUUAACUGGGCGUUAAGUUGCAGGGUAUAGACCCGAAACCCGGUGAUCUAGCCAUGGGCAGGUUGAAGGUUGGGUAACACUAACUGGAGGACCGAACCGACUAAUGUUGAAAAAUUAGCGGAUGACUUGUGGCUGGGGGUGAAAGGCCAAUCAAACCGGGAGAUAGCUGGUUCUCCCCGAAAGCUAUUUAGGUAGCGCCUCGUGAAUUCAUCUUCGGGGGUAGAGCACUGUUUCGGCUAGGGGGUCAUCCCGACUUACCAACCCGAUGCAAACUACGAAUACCGAAGAAUGUUAUCACGGGAGACACACGGCGGGUGCUAACGUCCGUCGUGAAGAGGGAAACAACCCAGACCGCCAGCUAAGGUCCCAAAGUCAUGGUUAAGUGGGAAACGAUGUGGGAAGGCACAGACAGCCAGGAUGUUGGCUUAGAAGCAGCCAUCAUUUAAAGAAAGCGUAAUAGCUCACUGGUCGAGUCGGCCUGCGCGGAAGAUGUAACGGGGCUAAACCAUGCACCGAAGCUGCGGCAGCGACACGAUGUGUUGUUGGGUAGGGGAGCGUUCUGUAAGCCUGCGAAGGUGGCCUGUGAGGGUUGCUGGAGGUAUCAGAAGUGCGAAUGCUGACAUAAGUAACGAUAAAGCGGGUGAAAAGCCCGCUCGCCGGAAGACCAAGGGUUCCUGUCCAACGUUAAUCGGGGCAGGGUGAGUCGACCCCUAAGGCGAGGCCGAAAGGCGUAGUCGAUGGGAAACAGGUUAAUAUUCCUGUACUUGGUGUUACUGCGAAGGGGGGACGGAGAAGGCUAUGUUAGCCGGGCGACGGUUGUCCCGGUUUAAGCAUGUAGGCUGGUUAUCCAGGCAAAUCCGGAUAAUCAAGGCUGAGGUGUGAUGACGAGGCACUACGGUGCUGAAGUAACAAAUGCCCUGCUUCCAGGAAAAGCCUCUAAGCAUCAGGUAACAUCAAAUCGUACCCCAAACCGACACAGGUGGUCAGGUAGAGAAUACCAAGGCGCUUGAGAGAACUCGGGUGAAGGAACUAGGCAAAAUGGUGCCGUAACUUCGGGAGAAGGCACGCUGGUGUGUAGGUGAAGUCCCUGCGGAUGGAGCUGAGACCAGUCGAAGAUACCAGCUGGCUGCAACUGUUUAUUAAAAACACAGCACUGUGCAAACACGAAAGUGGACGUAUACGGUGUGACGCCUGCCCGGUGCCGGAAGGUUAAUUGAUGGGGUUAUCCGUAAGGAGAAGCUCUUGAUCGAAGCCCCGGUAAACGGCGGCCGUAACUAUAACGGUCCUAAGGUAGCGAAAUUCCUUGUCGGGUAAGUUCCGACCUGCACGAAUGGCGUAAUGAUGGCCAGGCUGUCUCCACCCGAGACUCAGUGAAAUUGAACUCGCUGUGAAGAUGCAGUGUACCCGCGGCAAGACGGAAAGACCCCGUGAACCUUUACUAUAGCUUGACACUGAACAUUGAGCCUUGAUGUGUAGGAUAGGUGGGAGGCUUUGAAGCGUGGACGCCAGUCUGCGUGGAGCCAACCUUGAAAUACCACCCUUUAAUGUUUGAUGUUCUAACGUGGGCCCCUGACCGGGGUUGCGGACAGUGUCUGGUGGGUAGUUUGACUGGGGCGGUCUCCUCCCAAAGCGUAACGGAGGAGCACGAAGGUUAGCUAAUCCUGGUCGGACAUCAGGAGGUUAGUGCAAUGGCAUAAGCUAGCUUGACUGCGAGCGUGACGGCGCGAGCAGGUGCGAAAGCAGGUCAUAGUGAUCCGGUGGUUCUGAAUGGAAGGGCCAUCGCUCAACGGAUAAAAGGUACUCCGGGGAUAACAGGCUGAUACCGCCCAAGAGUUCAUAUCGACGGCGGUGUUUGGCACCUCGAUGUCGGCUCAUCACAUCCUGGGGCUGAAGUAGGUCCCAAGGGUAUGGCUGUUCGCCAUUUAAAGUGGUACGCGAGCUGGGUUUAGAACGUCGUGAGACAGUUCGGUCCCUAUCUGCCGUGGGCGCUGGAGAAUUGAGGGGGGCUGCUCCUAGUACGAGAGGACCGGAGUGGACGCAUCACUGGUGUUCGGGUUGUCAUGCCAAUGGCACUGCCCGGUAGCUAAAUGCGGAAGAGAUAAGUGCUGAAAGCAUCUAAGCACGAAACUUGCCCCGAGAUGAGUUCUCCCUGAGACUAUAAGUCUCCUGAAGGAACGUUGAAGACGACGACGUUGAUAGGCCGGGUGUGUAAGCGCAGCGAUGCGUUGAGCUAACCGGUACUAAUGAACCGUGAGGCUUAACCUU